rnacentral:rRNA from 1 species
UACAACAUAACGUUAAUUCCCCAAAUCCCAUUCUAAAAUUUGUAGCUAAGCAAGCUCAGGCUAGAGUAGUACUAGGAUGGGUGACUGCCUGGGAAGUCCUAGUGUUUUAC